AACGAACGCUGGCGGCAGGCCUAACACAUGCAAGUCGAGCGAGAUCUUCGGGUCUAGCGGCGGACGGGUGAGUAACGCGUGGGAAUAUGCCUCUUGGUACGGAAUAGCCUCGGGAAACUGGGAGUAAUACCGUAUGUGCCCUUUGGGGGAAAGAUUCAUCGCCAAGAGAUUAGCCCGCGUUGGAUUAGGUAGUUGGUGGGGUAAUGGCCUACCAAGCCGACGAUCCAUAGCUGGUUUGAGAGGAUGAUCAGCCACACUGGGACUGAGACACGGCCCAGACUCCUACGGGAGGCAGCAGUGGGGAAUCUUAGACAAUGGGGGCAACCCUGAUCUAGCCAUGCCGCGUGAGUGAUGAAGGCCUUAGGGUUGUAAAGCUCUUUCAGCUGGGAAGAUAAUGACGGUACCAGCAGAAGAAGCCCCGGCUAACUCCGUG
rnacentral:rRNA from 1 species